UACGUAGGGGGCUAGCGUUGUCCGGAAUCAUUGGGCGUAAAGCGCGUGUAGGCGGCCCGGUAAGUCCGCUGUGAAAGUCGGGGGCUCAACCCUCGGAUGCCGGUGGAUACUGUCGGGCUCGAGUACGGAAGAGGCGAGUGGAAUUCCUGGUGUAGCGGUGAAAUGCGCAGAUAUCAGGAGGAACACCAAUGGCGAAGGCAGCUCGCUGGGACGUAACUGACGCUGAGACGCGAAAGCGUGGGGAGCAAACAGG
rnacentral:rRNA from 1 species